GUCACAGAGUGGGAACGAAGAAACUAAAAUUUAUUGAAUUCCUAUGCUGAGAUAAGAGAUGGAUCUGCGGUGGUAGCAGGCUGCCUGGAUACAGAUCAGAAAACUCAUCACCAUCAACCAGCAGGUUGAGAAGGACAGAGAGGGGCCUUGGUAUCAUAUAGUCUCUGGACAUUGGCAGCUCCCAGUGCCUCUCCAGAUCCUUGG
rnacentral:lncRNA from 1 species